rnacentral:rRNA from 1 species
AUUGAACGCUAGCGGGAUGCUUUACACAUGCAAGUCGAACGGCAGCGCGGACUUCGGUCUGGCGGCGAGUGGCGAACGGGUGAGUAAUGUAUCGGAACGUGCCCAGUAGCGGGGGAUAACUACGCGAAAGCGUAGCUAAUACCGCAUACGCCCUACGGGGGAAAGCAGGGGAUCGUAAGACCUUGCACUAUUGGAGCGGCCGAUAUCGGAUUAGCUAGUUGGUGAGGUAACGGCUCACCAAGGCGACGAUCCGUAGCUGGUUUGAGAGGACGACCAGCCACACUGGGACUGAGACACGGCCCAGACUCCUACGGGAGGCAGCAGUGGGGAAUUUUGGACAAUGGGGGCAACCCUGAUCCAGCCAUCCCGCGUGUGCGAUGAAGGCCUUCGGGUUGUAAAACACUUUUGGCAGGAAAGAAACGUCGCGGGCUAAUACCCCGUGGAACUGACGGUACCUGCAGAAUAAGCACCGGCUAACUACGUG